UAUUGGUCCUCAUGUAAUAAAGCUCGCACAUUAGUAUUGAAGGAGAAUUUCAGUACUUUAUUCUACAGGAGUGAAGACUUAAUGCAUGCUUUUAUUUCAUCGGAUCUUGUUUGUUUAGGAAUGACUGGUAAUGUCUAUCUGAAGUCUCCUGAUAAAACUAAUGUAACUCCUCCCAUAGAUUUAUUGUUGCCUCUGAUGUCCUUCUCUGAUAAUAUUAAUAACA